GCUUACGGAAAGGGAACUGUGCCUACAUUUGAGGUCAGGUGUGGGUGGACACCUAAAGCGCCAAGUUUGAGUUCUCUUUGUGGUUGAUUUGGAUGCCUUUCUCCUUAAUGAAAGGAGUUUAUUUGUUCUUUGACAUAUGUGCCACUCGGCCCACUCCAAUUGUGUGAUCGAACACCAUUUUCAAAAGAUUCUUCCCAAGUUGCUUCCUUUUCUUUUAAUAUGAAGAGCCCUGUGUAUGGCGAUUUGUAUGUACUUGAGGCAAAAGAGGAGGUGAAGGCAUGUUAGAUAAGGUCUAUAUUGAUUUUUGACUAGUGGACCAUAGAAUCUUAUUUUUUGUACUUUAUAGUUUUAUGUAGACUAUAUUUUUUGGAUAGUGCAUGCUACCUUAACUAGUGUAUUCUGCAUGUUUCUACUGUGCAUGUUUUGGCAUAAUAAGCCUGAGGCUACUUGCACAGGUUUCAGCAAGAACUUCCAUAUUUGAUUAGAGAAGUACUGCCCGCGCUUCAAAUCGAAGGUUAUGGCUUCACAAUCUUGAUUUUUUGACUGAGGAAUAAAGCAGUUUCGUCCUUCACGUGGGCGUAUCCCAUUAAUCCAUCCACUUCAACAGAGAAUGAACUUCCCAAAUGAUAGACGUCACAUGGGUUGCCAAAAACAACAAAUGGACGUUUGACAGAGCUCCCAUCAUGGAAUGACAUGAAAGAGACAUGAAGGCGGAAAGUUUCUCUAGGGGUGGAAAAGAAAUAUUCCUACAAGAGUGGCAGGCUUAUUGGCUUAUUGCACUGGCUACAGUAAAUGCUUGAUUACCACCAUUUCUCGGCUCCUCGCUGAUGAAAAUGGAAUCAUGCUGCCUUUUGCUUCUAUGCCCUCCCACGAAGGAAAGCUGGCAGAAUCUUGACAUAUCACUAUCUACAAGUAUCAGUCUACACUCCUGUUGAUUGUUGAGGUGAGAAUUCUGGC